UUUUAAACUAGUUUUAUAUGGAAAACCUGAACGUGAAAAAAAAGUAACAUACCUGUGUUUGGAUUUGUCCGUGGAUCAUUUGCUGGUUAGUUUCCUUCCAAACUAUAAAAUAUGAAACAUAUACAAGAUCCACUGUAUACAAGUACCAUAGAUAAAGACAAACCUGGAACGGACCAUAGAGUACGAUUAUGUUUCAACACUAGAUGGACGUUGUGAAUAAUCCAGCAUUGUUUAAAUUACCUCAUGUGUUAGAAGGCGUUAUUCGGUAUGCAAUGAGCAGUUUAUAGAAUCUCAAUUUCGAAACUCCCGAAAAGAAGAAGCUGUUAACAAACAAAAAAUGUUUAUAACAAUAAAAAACUUAACACACCUGCGCCAAAAUUGUUUAUUUUUUCAUUUUUACAUGCUUUUCAAAUUUUAAUUUUUACAUGUUUAAAUUUUUUAUCAGUCAUACGUGUGUUUGUCCUGUUUCUGUUUAAUGUUAAAAUCAUUUAUAGGCUGUCCUUAUUUUCAUUUGUAUUUCUGUUCUAAUAAAUGCGUAUAUGAUU